rnacentral:lncRNA from 1 species
AUGGGUGAGGGUGGGGGGUCAGGAUGCACCAAGUCAACGCCCCAGCAGGUUCCCAAAUGCCGUGGGGCCAGGGGAGCGAUCCCAGGGGCACACCGAACCAACGAGCGGCCUCAGGCAAGUCCUGUGUUCUCUCUCCGGCCUCCAUUUCCUCCUCUGCCAAAGGGGGCCCUCGCAGGACGUCGGAAAAAGGACAGAGGACUUGCUGCAUUGCUCACCAUCUCCCCUCGCCACUCGGGGCCGGGCAGCGGCUGCCAGUGUCCUCCCCCCGGGUCGUUUGCUGAAGUCCUGGGUCUGUGGCUCACAGCAGACUUGUCGCACAAGGGCCAGGGUGGCUGUGGGGACCCACAGGAGGUGGCAGCAUCCAGGGUCCUGGAAACCAGCUGGUGCCGUCAGACCCACGUGCCGUCCUUCAUCAAGGGUUCCAGAGGCCUGGAAGUGGGAGGCAGCUGGCAGGGGUCAGGCCGAGCCCCAGGCUGCGUGUUGCAUCAGGGCCGGGGUCAAGGGAUCCUUUAUCUGGCGUGAUCUUAUCUGCGCGUCCUUGACGCCGGAGCUGGCUCCUGGAGGUACCGGAGGCCCAGGUGGGCAAUCAAGGGUGUCAGGGAUUGGCCCGGAGGGGUGGGGCCUCCCGUCUCCGGACCUACCUCCGUCCCUUUCCCCCAGCACUGCUUCCCUCUGACGCCUGUCCCUCUCGCCCUGUUCGCCACCUGCCUAUUCUCCGCAGCCCUAGAGAGUUAGAGAGAGAGCAGGAGCAGAGCGGGGGUGCCCCAGGGCCCCAGGGGAGACAGUUCAGCCCUUGGUUACACAAGCUGGCUUCAAGCUUCCUAGCAGCCAAGGCAAAAGGGAAAGAAGUUGAAGGAAGGUGGAGGUGGCGUAGGAAACUGGUCUGACGGAUGCAGCCUACAACCUUCCCCAGAAUUUGUUUGAUGAAUCCUGGCUACCGUCAGCCUUCCUUCCUGGACACGAGUCUUCCCCCUCGAAAAGGAUGAGACCCAGCAAGCAUCACAUUUCACGACGGGCCACGUGCGUACACCCCUGCGUGUUGGCUCUCUCAUCCCGUCAGUCAGCAGACACUCACUGAGCGCCUACUGUGUGCCGGGCCCGUGCCAGGUGCCA